AUUGAACGCUGGCGGCAGGCCUAACACAUGCAAGUCGAGCGGAUGAAGGGAGCUUGCUCCUGGAUUCAGCGGCGGACGGGUGAGUAAUGCCUAGGAAUCUGCCUGGUAGUGGGGGAUAACGUCCGGAAACGGGCGCUAAUACCGCAUACGUCCUGAGGGAGAAAGUGGGGGAUCUUCGGACCUCACGCUAUCAGAUGAGCCUAGGUCGGAUUAGCUAGUUGGUGGGGUAGAGGCCUACCAAGGCGACGAUCCGUAACUGGUCUGAGAGGAUGAUCAGUCACACUGGAACUGAGACACGGUCCAGACUCCUACGGGAGGCAGCAGUGGGGAAUAUUGGACAAUGGGCGAAAGCCUGAUCCAGCCAUGCCGCGUGUGUGAAGAAGGUCUUCGGAUUGUAAAGCACUUUAAGUUGGGAGGAAGGGCAGUAAGUUAAUACCUUGCUGUCUUGACGUUACCAACAGAAUAAGCACCGGCUAACUUCGUG
rnacentral:rRNA from 1 species